GGAGAGGGGAGAGGGAGAGCCCCUAUCCACCCAAAGACAUGGAGCACUCCUGGGCAUCGCACGAGAAGAGAUCGUGUUCAAGGAAAAGGAGGUACUGGAGUGGCAGAGGAAGUACGAGGACAGUCGACAGGAAGUGCUGGAGAUGAGGAGAAUCGUGGCAGAGUAUGAGAAGACCAUUGCACAGAUGAUUGGUGAGUGUUUCUCUGUGUAGUUUCUCAUACAUAAAUCUACCAACCUGGGUUUUAUACAGUACAUGAUUGCUAUACCAAUAUGUGGUUUGUUGUUCCUCGCAACCUUUUCAGUAUGUUAAUAAUUAGCAAAAACAUCU